AUUUGUAACCUAUGGUGAGACCAAGAAAUAACUUUCAAGUUAUGAAAGCUCCAGUCACAAUAUUUAGUUUUCAGCAUCAGAAUCCCCAAUACUGAAUUAAUUGACAACAUCAGCCCUUCCUGCUCUUCAAGUGUGAAGACAAGAUUUCAGUUCUGAAUGUGCAAUCACAUAAAUACACAAAUCCCCAUGGCAUCUGCACUUGAGGCUUUAAUCUGGGAUGUGUCCUAGCAUAGAGAAAACACUUCACUUUUUUAGUGAGUCUACAAAACUUACCUUAAGUAGCACCAGAAAAAUUGCAACACGUUCUUUAAUAAUAAAGCAGAAGCGGGAAAAUCAGUAGUUUAAAUGUUCACUGUGUGGCUUCAGUGAACCUCUCCAUCAGUUAUUCCUUGCUAAGCAUUGGGAUUGCUCUUCCACUUACAGGUUACAUUGCUCCAGCACUAUGACAACUGCCAUUCCUACUGGAAGUAAAUGGCUUUAAUCUGUUUGACAUGUCAACCUGCAGGCUCUUAUUAUUGCACUGCCUCUCAGUUUUCCACAAUUUUCUCUUCUUGCCCUCUGUCCCUUUUACAAGUUGAUACUGUAUCUGUGACAGAAAUCAGGUCAGUAGCUUAAAACAGCUUUUUGCAUUGGCUGUUAAGAUAUGAAAUCUUUAUUGCUUCAGUUUGUCUCUCUGUAACCACUAUGAGUAGGUGAAAUGCAGCUGCUUAAACAUAGCUGUCCAGACCAUCUUAGAUAUCAUAAGACAGCAGAGGCAUAGGAGAGUACAGGACUGGAAGAUAUGAUAGAGCAACUGGAGGUCAAGCAGGUAAUAGCAAAUCAUCUGAAGUGGCACUGAAAGUGUGAUUUAGGCAGCUGAAGCCUUAUCGGUUUUUACUUAUUUUUCUUCACUUUCUUUGUAUUACUUUGGCUUUUAUUUAUUGUUAAAAGGUCAAUAAAUCAAAUUAAAUGUGAAUGCUGCUGCCACAAUUUGUUUUUCUGAUUUGGAACAGCUUCUUAGUUUCACUGCAUGGGUUUGUCAAUGACAACUCACAACCCCACAUAUCUAUAACAGCCAAAAAAUACGUGUAAAUUCUGGGAUAUGCUGAAGCAGGGAGCCUAUAGGUCUACUGAAAUGGGGGGAAGCUACAUUUUCUGUUGUUAUCCUAUGUACCUAUGCACCAGCACAGGUGCUAGUUAGUUACAGACAAGUCAAAUCUUCCAAAAUCAUUGCCUGAUCCUCACAGGCAAUGCCAUCUCCCCACCUGCAGUGCUGAGGUGUUUGCACUCUGAGGACUCAUCGUGUUCUAGACCCGCACUUUGUUGUCUGCAGUGCAAAUCUUGUCUGCUUGUCCGUAUUUCUCAGUCAUUACUGACAAAGAUUCCUCCCUGCCUCUUUACAAGUGGCACUGUUGUCUAGUUGUCUCAGUAAAUUCUAUACAUGUAGCAAAUAUGAGUUGUUGUUUAUUUUGGGUCCAAACGUAUUAAGCUGUUUGCUGGCUUUUAGGUGUUUGAAAAACUGCAUGGAAGCAAGAAAUAUCAGCAAUUAACCAUCCUGGCAGAUGAUAGUAUAGCUACCAUGGGACAUUAUGAAAGGAAUUUUCUUGGACUACACAGGGAGAUAAACAAGCAGAAAUGUUGGGGCUCCAAAGGAACUGACAUAGUGGAUGGGUACACAUUAAUGUGCACUGUAACUGCACAGUUACACCCAAACUGGAGAUGGUUGAGAAGAACUCUUUCUACUAAUUUUCUUCAUAAGAGAAGUGUUUCUUACAAUUAUUCACCCUCAGCAGUCCCAUUCUGUGUGGUGUAAGCUUAAACACCUAAUAUAAAUACUAGGUUCUGGUUUGGAGGGCUAGUGGUCUCUAAAUAGGUAUUGUUCUGCCAAAAUCAGGUAUUUGGUCUGGUUCCUUCUGUUCUCAGGCCUUUGAAUUGCAUUGUCAUACCUACAACACGUGGAAUCUACACUGAUGCUGCAGUUGGCAGGAUGCAUUAGGGCUUUUGCCUACAGAGACCUGGUGACUGGCAUGGCUUCAGUGCUUGUGUUGUUGCAGCUCUCAGGCAUAAAUUAGGGGCUAAACCACAAAAGCAGCAGCAUAUCUCUGCUGAGAAUAAUUUUUUUGCCUUCUGAUGGGGAGUGUUAGAAGAUCGGGGACUGACUACUUUGUCCUGUAAGCCUACACUGACUCUAAGUGAAAUGCAGACACCUUAGCUGGAAAAUGUGAAAAUGGUAAAUGAAGCAGAAGACAUGUACAUACAUAAAUGGAGACUUUUUAAAAACAUAUACAUAAUUCCCCUUUAAAAAGAAAAAGAAGACCAACUGUAAUAAGGCAUUUUAAGAUUAAUGACCUUGUUUCCUGGACAGGCAUACAGAGAAAUGAAUCUAGAACUCCAAAUCAGUAUUUGGGAUUUCUCUCUUUAAGGACAUGGCACGUCUUGAGUAUGGUCAUCUUAUAAUAGUACCCCCAGCAGUAAGGACAUAGAGCUGGCAUGGCAUAGAGAUAGCCAGAAGGAAAUUUUAAAUGUGUGUAGAGUAGUAAUGUUGAUUUUGUUAAAACUUGGUCGCUCUGAAGACAGAAAAUCAUAGAUAGUUCAGGUCAAGGUAAAUGAGAACCACGGCUCCACAGCUUUGCAUUUGACACCCCACAGAAAUGGAUAAUGUUGCUUGUCCUUGGUUCUUGCAUCAGGUAUGCCUAUGUAUUCUAAAUUCACUGCAUAAUAUAAAAUAAAUAGGCCUGGCAGCUGUAGCUCAAGCCAAAAGUACCCCCUCACAGUUGUCUCUUAGGUUACAGGGUUAGAAUUAGAGGGGCUCAGAUUCUUCCCAGCUUAUUUCAAGUCACCAGGGAAGAGUUGGGUUAGGGAGUAGGAGGUGGUGCGUUGGCAUCUGACCACGCUUUAAUUGCUGAGAAACAAUAUACAUUGCACUGGCUCCUCCCCACCUGCUUAUUUGCAGACUGAGCAUCAAAUUAAACUCUGCAGGAAAAAGCAAACUCAGUCGACCUUUAGGACCAUACAGCAUUUCAUUAAUUUCUCUUGAUGUGUAAAGCUUUAUUUUUCAGACUUUGAUGCAACAGCAUGGCUUGCCCUCAACAAUCAGAUGAGCUUGUCUUUUUUGUGAAUGGCAGGAAGGUAAUAGAGAGGCAGGCAGAUCCCGAAGAAUUGCUGCUGUAUUAUCUAAGAAAGAAGCUCCGUCUUUCAGGUACAAAAUAUGGCUGUGGGGUAGGAGGCUGUGGUGCCUGCACUGUGAUGAUAUCCACAUAUGAUCCUGUUGCCAAGCUGAUACAUCAUCAUCCUGCCAACUCCUGCCUUCUCCCAUUAUGUUCACUGCAUGGUGCUGCUGUCAUUACUGUGGAAGGGGUUGGAAGCAUAAAAACCAGGAUUCAUCCAAUUCAGGAAAGGCUGGCCAAAUGCAAUGGCUCCCAGUGUGGCUUCUGCACCCCUGGAAUGGUGAUAUCCAUGUAUGCCUUACUGAGAAACCAUGCAGAACCUUCCAUGGAGCAGAUUAUUUCUGCUCUGGAUGGUAAUUUGUGCCGUUGCACAGGAUACAGGCCAAUUAUAGACAGCUACACAUCUUUUGCUAGGGAGCCAACAUGUUGCCAACUCAGAGGAACUGGACAAUGUUGCUUUGAUCAGGAGGAAUAUGUCUGUUCAUCUUCUACAGGGGGUCAGAUCCCUUCAGGUCUUUGCCAUCCAGAACAAUUCCUACCCAUGGAUCCAACACAGGAAUUUAUAUUUCCUCCUGAACUAAUGAGAAUGGCUCAAGAGCAGCAAAGAACAACUCUGAUUUUUCACGGCAAAAGAACAACAUGGAUUUCUCCCCCUAGCCUGAAGAAACUUCUGAAGCUGAAAGCCAAGUAUCCAAAGGCACCUUUGGUUGUGGGGAACACUAGUGUGGGACUCAAAAGAAAUCACAGUGGUGCCUAUCAUCCAAUCAUUCUCCAUCCUGUUAGGAUUUCAGAAAUGCAUGUUGUGAGUAGCACAAGCGAUGGGCUAGUAAUAGGAGCUGCCUGCUGCUUGGCCCGGCUCAGAGACAUCCUAAUGAAGGCAGUCACAGAACUUCCAGCAGAGAAAACAAAAACAUACCAAGCUCUCUUGCAGCACCUGAGAACUCUAGCUGGAGAACAGAUCAGGAGCAUGGCGUCUUUAGGAGGACACAUUGUAAGCAGAGGAUCAUCCUGGGACUUGAAUCCAAUCUUAUCAGUUGGCAAAUCUGUCCUCAACUUGGCAUCAGAAGAUGGUAAAAGACAGAUUCUUUUAAAUGAUCGUUUCCUUGCUGGCUGUGAGCAUGCAGACAUAAAUGCCAAGGAGGUCAUUGUUUCUGUUCUCAUUCCAUACUCUAUGAAGGAUGACUUUAUUUCAGCCUUCAGACAGGCUGAAAGACAGAAAAAUGCUUUAUCCAUAGUGAAUUCUGGAAUGCGAGUGCUCUUCCACCCAGGCACAGACACCAUUGCAGAUCUGAGUAUUUUAUUUGGAGGCAUUGGCUCAACCACACUCAGUGCAAGAAAGUCCUGUGAGAAGCUUAUAGGAAGGCAAUGGAAUGAUCAGAUGCUGAAUGAAGCUUGCAGACUGGUGCUGGAGGAAAUUGUUCUCCCUCCAUCAGCUUCAGGUGGAAAAGUAGAAUAUAGAAGAACUCUGCUUGUCAGCUUUCUUUUCAGAUUUUACCUGGAAGUGUUACAUGGUUUACAUCAGAUGUAUCCCUUCAGGUAUGCUGAGCUUUCACAGGAGAAGAUGAGUGCUUUGGGAAUGUUGCAAAGUGAUGUUCCUCAGGGUGUCCAGAUCUAUCAGGAUGUUGACCCAGGACAGUCUCCACAAGAUCCCGUGGGUCGUCCCAUCAGGCACCAGUCUGGAAUUAAGCACACCACUGGUGAGGCAGUUUUCAUCGAUGACAUUCGCCCCGUGGAUGGAGAACUCUCACUGGCUGUGGUCACCAGUGUUAAAGCCCAUGCAAAGAUCAUAUCAAUUGAUGCAUCAGAAGCCCUUCAGGUGCCAGGAGUGGUUGAUGUAGUGACAGCAAGAGAUGUUCCAGGGAAAAAUGGCAGAGAUGAGCAAGCAUAUGCAGAAGAUAAGGUGAUUUGUGUUGGUCAGAUAAUCUGUGCUGUGGUUGCAGAGUCACUGACUCAGGCAAAGUGUGGGGCUGGAAAGGUGAAGAUAGUCUACAAAGAUCUGGACCCAAUUCUGACUAUUGAGGAUGCAAUAAAACAUAAUUCAUAUAUUACUGAAGAAAGGAAAAUAGAAAAAGGAGAUAUUGUGAAAGGAUUCAAGUCUGCUGAUGAAAUAAUCGAAGGUGAAUUGCACGUGGGAGGACAGGAACAUUUUUACAUGGAAACAAAUAGUGUACUUGUUAUUCCAAGAGUGGAGGAUAAAGAAAUGGAUGUGUAUGUGUCAACUCAGCACGUAACAGAUGUACAGGAAUUAGUGGCUUCAGCUUUAAACCUCCAGUCCAGUAAAGUUAUGUGCCAUGUGAAACGUGUUGGUGGAGCAUUUGGUGGGAAGAUAACUAAACCUUCCCUCUUUGCUGUAAUUGCAGCCGUGGCAGCCAACAAGACAGGGCAUCCAGUCCGUUUUGUCCUGGAAAGAAAUAUGGAUAUGUUAAUCACUGGUGGACGGCACCCUUUCUUUGGAAAAUAUAAAGUUGGAUUCAUGAAUGAUGGUAGAAUAACAGCUGCAGAUUUUCAGUGCUAUAUAAAUGGUGGCUGUACAAAAGAUGAAUCUGAGUUGGUGAUUGAGUACAUUGUGUUGAAAGCAGACAAUGCAUACAAUAUCCCCAACCUCCGAGUCAGGGGACAUGCCUGCAAGACUCACUUGCCUUCUAAUACUGCCUUCCGAGGAUUUGGGUUUCCCCAAGCAGGUCUGCUUAUGGAGACCUGUGUUGUGGCUGUGGUGACCCAAACUGGCCUACCACAUGAGAAGGUUAGGGAAAUAAACAUGUACAAAGGAGUUAACCUAACAUCCUUCAAAGAAAAGUUUGAUGCAGAGAAUCUGUGGAAAUGUUGGGAAGAAUGUUUGGACAAAUCUGACUACUACCAUCGAAAAGCAAUGGUGGAAGAAUUUAACACUAAAAAUUAUUGGAAAAAGAAAGGAAUUGCCAUCAUUCCAAUGAAGUUUUCUGUUGGAUUUAAUGCAACUUAUUUUCAUCAGGCUGGAGCUCUUGUCCACAUCUAUAUAGAUGGGUCUGUGCUAGUCACUCAUGGUGGAAUUGAACUGGGACAAGGAAUUCACACUAAGAUGUUACAGAUUGCCAGUCGUGAACUGAAGAUACCACUGUCAUAUAUCCACUUCUGUGAAACAAGCACAACGACUGUACCUAAUGGCAAAUACACAGCAGGUUCAGUUGGUACUGAAAUCAAUGCAAGAGCAGUGCAGAAUGCCUGUCAAAUCCUUUGGAAGCGCCUGGAGCCUAUUCGAAGAGACAAUCCUGAUGGCAAAUGGGAAGACUGGAUCAGUGAAGCUCACAAGCAAAGCAUCAAUCUUUCAGCUACUGGCUAUUUCAAAGGUUAUCAUACAAACAUGAACUGGGACACACAGAAAGGCCAUGCGUUCCCGUAUUUUCUCUUUGGAGUUGCAUGUUCUGAAGUAGAAAUUGACUGUUUGACAGGAGCCCACAAGAAUAUCAGAACAGACAUUGUCAUGGAUGCCUGUUUUAGCAUAAAUCCAGCUAUAGAUAUAGGACAGAUUGAAGGGGCCUUCAUUCAGGGGGUUGGUCUUUACACAUUAGAAGAAAUCUACUUUUCUCCAAAAGGAGAGCAGCUCACUCUUGGCCCAGAUACAUAUAAGAUCCCUGCUGUCUGUGACAUUCCUGAGCAGUUCCGUGUCUAUUUACUGCCCAAUUCACGCAACUCAAUUGCCAUCUAUUCUUCCAAGGGCAUGGGUGAGGCUGGAUUAUUCUUGGGCAGCUCAGUGUUCUUUGCAAUACGAGAUGCAGUGGCUGCUACACGGAAAGAAAGAGGAUUGUCCCUGGACUUCACACUGAACAGCCCCUUGACUGUUGAGCGGAUUCGCAUGGCCUGUGGUGAUGUCUUUACUGAGAUGUGGCACCUUGUUCAGCCAUGUUGACAGAGUAACAUGAACUGACAGUCCAGAACUGAGGAACCUGUGCUGUUUCCUCAGUGAUUCCAAAAGACAAACCUGGAACCUAUAAGCCAUGGGCCAUCGAUAUAGCUUAGUACUGGUUUCCUAAGUAUAAACCAACCAGGUGAUUCCUUCAGCCACUUACUGAUCAAAAGCAUUCAUGCACGAAAGAACUGUAAUACUCACAUGCACACAUGCAUGCAUAUAUAUAUCACACCAUCUUUGCUGAACAAGAUAUAAGCACCAGUUCUAUUGUAAGUCUCUAAGUAAAACACCUCUCAUUAAUGUGUUUCAUGCUACCCUGGAAUAGUUGGGGAGUUAACUCAAGAACUUCAAAGCAUUUGCAUGAGAUUCUGAAAAUAUCUGCAGUGAAGAGCAGAUCACAAAUAGUACCAUUUUGUCACUUCUACAUCCAGUUUGAGAGCCACAGCUGUUGUUAUCUAUUUUUUCUGUUCUAACAUAUGAAAAUCCCAAAGAUCAGAAUUAGACAAUGUACAAAUUAGUGAUGGGCAAUGCAUCAAUAUUUCUGUAAAAGAGAUAUUCUGAAAGUACAUACUGCCAAAUAUUUCUAGACACCGAUAUAUUAUUACCACUACAGUAACCACAGUAAUACACCAGUAAAGCUUCUUUGCUUCCUGGCAGCCUACUUCAAGCCUGCUCCUUACCACCAGAUCUCUUUGAACCACUAUCAACUUCGACCUCUCCUAGAGCUGGAGUAUAAUCACUGCUAUUCAUUCACUGCCUCAUCAUCACUUGUUCCUCUUCUCCUCUUCCUUACCCACAGUUUUGCUCCUUCUUUCCAGCAAAAUGGUGAAGCAGAACAUAGCUGAUGCAUUCAUCUGUAGGUGAGGAGAGGGCACAAUGUGAGAGAGGUGUACUGGAGGUAGGAAGGGUUAAAGCAGGACAGGUUCCCAGUACCAGCUUCAAGUGACCAUAACACAGGUCAGGUUGCCCAUUGCAGCCGUCAGCAGGCCUGCACAGCAGAUGUGUAGAUGAAAAGGUGGAAGGGAGCAGAGCUGAGAGGAAAACAAUGACAAUAGAAGUUCAUCAUAGGUGUGUCAGCUCACAGUUUAACUGAGCUGUGCCAAACAACUGGCAUUCUGACAGAGAUUGUUUCGGAAAGGAGCUUUUAAAGUGAUCCGGUGGCAGCUGUGUGCUCAUUUCCCCAUGAGGAGAGGAGACUGAAAAGCAAGUGCAAACGUAUUUGAGAGGGAGAAAAGGGAAUGGCUGAGCUAAGCCUACAUAGUAAUAUAUACAAAUCAAUAUUCAACUUUGAUAUCUGAUAGUUCAAAGCAAUAAAAUUUACAGUAAGAACACAUUUAACAACAUCAUUGUGUACCCAAAACACUAGCAUAAGAAAUAACUCUGGAGAUGCUUAACAGAUAUUCCAUUAGUUCAGAUCUUCAUUUAUAUAGGCAGAAAUUUAGGCUAUUUUCAUUUAUUUUAAGGGUGAGGCUUAAAUUAACUUAGUAUAGAAGAGAGUGCAACCUGCACACACCCUCAAAUAAGUCAUGUUUAAUUUAAAUCUGUAGAGAUACAACAUGAUUUUAUUCCUUUACAUGUAAAUUAAUAUUGCAGGUAAUAAGGAAAUUUCUAGCUUAUGUGGGUGAAGUUUUCCUGAUCAUUUCUCUUGGUAAAUGGUGAGAAAUUACAGCUAAUGGGAAAAGCUCAACUGGUAGUAGACUUUGAAGUUUUGUAAUAUCAAAGACUUCAGGAAGCUGACAGUAGGAACUAUUAUGUCUUUUUGUUCCUUUCCGUAAAAUGCAAUUUUAAUAAUUUAUCUUCUUGGCUUUUUACUUAAUUGUGAUUCAGACAAAUCCUCUCCAUUUAGAAUGAGUACCAAAGUAAUUGGGGUCUUGGGUUUAGAAUGAAUGGACAAAUAUUUGCAAAUAUUAAGGUGAAAAUCCUUCCUCUGAAACUUCCUUAGGGUAUUUUUGAAUGUAGUAUUUUGGGGAUUUCAUUGGGCUGUUAACUGGAACCUGUAAAAAUGUUUCUUGAAUAAAAGCAAACUUGUAA